rnacentral:rRNA from 1 species
UCUGGGACAAGCCCUGGAAACGGGGUCUAAUACCGGAUGAUACCCGCCUCGGCAUCGAGGCGGGUUGAAAGCUCCGGCGGUGCAGGAUGAGCCCGCGGCCUAUCAGCUUGUUGGUGGGGUGAUGGCCUACCAAGGCGACGACGGGUAGCCGGCCUGAGAGGGCGACCGGCCACACUGGGACUGAGACACGGCCCAGACUCCUACGGGAGGCAGCAGUGGGGAAUAUUGCACAAUGGGCGAAAGCCUGAUGCAGCGACGCCGCGUGAGGGAUGACGGCCUUCGGGUUGUAAACCUCUUUCAGCAGGGAAGAAGCGAAAGUGACGGUACCUGCAGAAGAAGCGCCGGCUAACUACGUGCCAGCAGCCGCGGUAAUACGUAGGGCGCAAGCGUUGUCCGGAAUUAUUGGGCGUAAAGAGCUCGUAGGCGGCUUGUCACGUCGGUUGUGAAAGCCCGGGGCUUAACCCCGGGUCUGCAGUCGAUACGGGCAGGCUAGAGUGUGGUAGGGGAGAUCGGAAUUCCUGGUGUAGCGGUGAAAUGCGCAGAUAUCAGGAGGAACACCGGUGGCGAAGGCGGAUCUCUGGGCCAUUACUGACGCUGAGGAGCGAAAGCGUGGGGAGCGAACAGGAUUAGAUACCCUGGUAGUCCACGCCGUAAACGUUGGGAACUAGGUGUUGGCGACAUUCCACGUCGUCGGUGCCGCAGCUAACGCAUUAAGUUCCCCGCCUGG